UUGUGACGAAGUGGAUGACUCUAAAGUGGACCUGGUAUUCCAGCCGUUCAAAGAUAAUUUGGAGCUCCAAAUUCCUGAAAACGAAAAGCACAGGUCAGCAUGAUUUCAGAGUUUUAGUUCAGAACUACCUUCACAAUUUUUCAAUCCCCAAGUCAUCAGUAGUUUGCUGAAGCCUGAUAAUGUUUCCGUAUUAAAAAUGUAAUUGUCAGGUGGGAAGGCAAAUAUGAACACUCAGCCUAUGCUGCUCUAAAUGCAACAGAAAUAGCAAAAUAAAUCUCUUUUCCCAGCUCAGAAGCUUGUUGUAGGCCAUCAAUUCGCAUUUCAGGCAGCUGGUUGUGUUUUUUUUUUCUCCCUGUCUUUUUUUUUCGUUUUGUAUUAAGAUGACUAGUGUGACAAUAUCUCAUGACAUUUUAUUCGAAUUUCCUUGCUCUGGAGAAAUUUCAUAGCACAAAUUGCAUUUGAAAUACAAAAUCAAGCUGAGAAGAUGGUUGGAAUAAGCCUUGAUGUUAUGUAUUCCAGGGGAAAUAAAAUUCUCAAUAUUGUGCAUGUUAUCCGGAAGAGAUUAUGUGACUUAUGUAUCAUGAAAGUAGAGCCUAUGACAACAUUCUAGUAAAACGUAUUUGUUUUACCAUAGAUUCAACCGAGUCCAAGACUCCUAUUAAUUCCGACAUCAUUAUCUACCACUAUCUAGAUAUUAAAACUUUAACACGGUUAAAUUAGUUUUUGGGUUGAGAUGAUAUUUUAAUUUGGCAUUAAAAUUUUGUUGAUCAAGUGAUCACAAGUUUAAAUCUCAUCACUUUAAUUCUAAUUAAUAAAAAUUAAUCACAAUGUAAUGUGAUCAUGCGCAAGUUUCAAGCUCAAAAGCUUUUCACUUGAGAAAGGGUUAAUGAGUAAUAUAAAACUAUUUUUGAAACCUCACUUGAUAGCUUAAGCUUUUGGGCUGAGAAGGUUCUUUGACAUGAUAUCAAAGCCUUGUUGAUGAAGUAGUCACAAGUUCAAAUCUCACCACCCUCAUUCUAAUUCAUAAAAGUUAAGCACAAGGUAAUGUAAGCAUGUACAAGUUUUAUAAAACUAGAUGGGUCUAUAGUGUUCUGCUCAGAGGCACAUACUUCUAGCUUGUCAGGUUUCCUUUAGUGUCCUCUUGGUCAUGGAGAAAGAUUAUACUCAUCAUAGAUUGAUGUAGAAGAAAAUUUGUCUCCAAUAUUGGUGAUGAGACUACUACCUCUUUGUGGUUAGACUAUUGGUUACCAAAUAGGUAACAUUAUGUGAUCUAGUGCCUUUUAGGGUGCUCACUUCUACUGGGCUGCCAUGAAAUGUUAAGGUCUCAGACAUCAUUGAGGGGGAUACUUGAGCUUUUUCAUCGAGUAGUCCGACGCUCCAACCUAUUUGGAACAUGAUUACUUUUAACCCCAGGAGUGCCUUAUAAAAACACUAUGUCUGGAAUGGUCACUCAUCGAGAAGGCUCUCUAUUGACUCAGCAUAAAAGAUUCUUAGAGAUUCUAGACCCACAUACUCUAUAUACCAUCUUCUCUGGUUCUUAGGUUUCAUCCCGAGACACUCCUUUAUCUUGUGGCUUGCCUUUAUAGGUCAUCUCAACACUAUGGAGAGACUAUAUUCUUUUUAGAUCAUUCCCUCUUCAACAUGUAUCUUUUGUGGGUGGCAGGUUGAAACACAUGAAUAUUUAUUCUUUCAGUGCCCUUUCUCUGCUGCAGUUUGAGGUAUCAUGAGCAUGAUUUUUAUGGGUUGACCUUUUUCGACAAGACAUCAACAAAUUUAGUGGGCAUACACGCACUUGAAAAAGAAGAAGGAAUUUAUGCAUCUCUUUACUCGGCUAGCCCUCUCAACCUCGAUUUAUUUCAUCUGGCAUGAGAGAAAUAACAAAGUCUUUCAUCAAAUUUACCAAUCUCAUCAGGAUGUUUGCGAGGACAUUUAUUAUUUGGUCUGGUCCUGUUUGGUAGAGCUCAAACCAAGGUUUCACAUCCUAACUACUUUUAGGUCCCUUUGACACUUCCAAGAGUCAUGAGAUACCAUUGCUUUGCUAUUUUCGAGAUUGUGUUUAGUAUAGUUUCAUAUAUAAUCAAUCGGUUGAUCGGUUAAGGAAAUUUUCAAAACCAAUCGACCGACUCAUCUGCUAUUUGUCAUCACAAUCUGCUUGUCUUUUUUUUUUUUUUAGUUUCUUUUUUAGCUUUUGCUUCUUUUCCUUGUUUGGCUAGAUAGACCAGGGUAACAAGCUUUUGUACUUCUUGGGGUAUGCUCUUUACACUUUGUACAACUUUCUUCUUUUAAUACAAUUACUCUUAUUUAUAAAAAAAAAAGUUUUAUAAAACUGUUCUUAUGGGCCUAUGACCUUACCUAACAACUUAAGUUUUUGGGUUGAGAUGAUUAAUUUACACUAGCGGUUCAUCAAUUAAAAAGCUUGAAUGAAAGCUCAUCUUGUUGAAGAAUAUGUGAAAAACAAUUCUUAUCCUACAACAAAAUGACUUUGUAUCGCUUAAACAAUAGAAAUAGCUAGCUAUUUGACCCGCGUUAUGUUGCGGGUUGAAUAUUUUUUUUUCCAAUACAAAUAAAGAAACAUCCAGGUAUAGCUAAUGUUUUUCUAGUAGAUAAAAAUUAAGUCAUCUGAGAGUUGACGUGAUAUGACCUGGUUGACUUGACGGGUUUAAAGACAACUUAAACAACUAGUUAAAACAUAGUUCGACUAUAAAAAAAAUAAUUCAGGACAACGUCAUUUUUUUUAAAAAAAUAUUGAUGUGACAAUAUAUUGGAUCAACCUGGAUUAACCUUUCAAGUCCACAACCCGGGUCAUGAGAUCAUGACAACCCUAUAUAAAACAAAUCAAAACAAAUUAUGAAGUUUAAUUUCCAAUUAAACCAAUGUAGAAGAAUGAAAUUGAAAAAAUAAUAAUUAAAAAGGAACAAAAAACCAACCCAUAUCGAUAUGCCAAAUCCACGACUUGAGUCAUGAGAACAACCCCAUAGAAAAUAAAUCAAUAUAAAUUAUGAAGCCUAAUUUUCCAAUCAACUCAAUUUAAAGAUGAAAUUGGAAAAAAAAACUCAAUUUAAAAAAUAACUUGAGUCAACCCGUGUUAACCUCUUAAACUCAUGACUUGGGUCAUGAGACCGGGAUAAAUUUAUAAAAAAGUAUAUUAAAAAAACAACCUAAGUCAACUCAGGUUAACCUUCCAAGCCUGCGACUCGGGUCAACCCGGGUUAACUAGCCAAGCUUGCAACCUAGGUCAUAAGACUAAGAUAUAUUCAUAGAAAGCAAAUUGAAUAAAUUAUAAAGAACAUUUCUCAAUAAAUACAUUAUUAAAUGAUAAAAUUUGAAAAAAAAUCAAUCUAAAAAAAACACAUAAAACAAUCCGAGUCUACCUAAAUUAACUAGCAAAACUCGUAACUUGAGUCAUAAGAUCAGGAUAACCUUAUAGAAAAUAAACUGAAACAAAUGACAAAGCAUAAUUCUUAAUCAACCCAAUGUUAAAGAUGUUGAAGGAUGAAACUGGAAAAAAUACCAAAUAAAAAAAAAUUAAAAAAACUCAAGUCAGUCGAAUUAACCCACCAAACCCAUAACAUGAGACAUGAAAUUGAGAUGACCACAUGGAAAGUAAACCACAACAAGUCAUAAAGUCCAAUCUCUAGUAAACUAAGAGUUGAAGAAUGAAAUUAGAAAAAAAAAAUAGAUUAAAAAAAUAAAAAAUAUUGCAAUGAAUAGUAUUUUGUGAGGUUAUGCAUAGUAAAAGCAUAAUCUCUUUUAGUUUUUGUUAAUUAAUAAUAAUAACUAGCUUUUUAACCCGCACAGAGCCACAAGUUGUAUUUUUUUUAAAUGGAUGUACAUGCUUUAUUGACGUGCUUUUAUAUAUAAAAAAAUUUUAAGUGCAAAUAAAUAUUUUUAUGCAAGUAUCUAAUUAAAUAAAUUGAUCAAAUAUCUGUGUAAACACAUGAAAAUUUAAAAAUCAAGAUAUAAAUACAAAUCAAGAUAUUUGAUCCAACAACAUGAGAUAUUCACCUGAUCAUGUUAACUAAAUUUAUUUAUGAAAAUAAAUUUGUUAUUCGACCAAACAAUAAUGAAAAUAGACACAUGGGAUAUUUAAAUAAUUUUUAUUUUAUUUUUAAAAAUGAAGCUCAUCAAUAUAAAACAUAAAAAAAUUAUAGAUGAAUCGUAACAAUAUCUUCAAAACUUAAACACAUACAAAACAUUUUUUUUUAAAAAAACCCUCAAUUAAAAAAUGGCUAAAUAAACAAAAUAAAAAAAAUCAUAGAGGAGGGAUAUUAACUGUAAGAAAAUACUAAAAAAGAUAUCAACUAAAAUAAAAACCAAAAUUAAAAUAAGAAAAUAAGAAAAAAGCUAGUGAUAGUUUAGGCGACACAAUCAAGUUUAAAAGAAAUAAGAAAAACAAAUGAACUUUAGCUAUAAGCCUGACCACAUUAAAUAAAUUGGUUUUAUUUUAAUUAGUUAGUGAAAAAAUAGGCAACGAUAGUAAACAAAUAAAAAUUUUAUAAAAAUAAAGUGCACAAUAACUUGGAAAAAAAACUUGAAAGUACAAAAUUAAAUAAAUAAAAAAAAUAACCAGAGUGAACUCGAGUUAGUGUGGUAGACUUGUAGCCUGGGUGAUAAGAGGCGAGUCAACUCGUGUCGCAGGUUAUAAGAUCAGAAUAACAUGGUAGAAAAGAAAUUGAGGAAAACCACAAAGCCAAUUUUUUUUAUAAAAAAAAUAAUAUCAAACGGUGAAGUUAAAAAAGAAAAUGAGAAAAAAAGAAGGAUUUUGACUCGCGUCAAUAAUCAAAACCCAUGACUCGGGUCAUUAGACUAUAAGCAUAAAAUGAUCUCAAAUAAAAGAAAUACAAUUAAAAGAAUGAGGGUGAAAAUUAAAAAAAAUAUUGAGGGGGCGACAAAUUCUUUUUGAUUUGAGGUUAAAUUAAAAAGAAAAAUAACUUUAAUAAAAGGAAAAACAAAUCAAAAGAAUGAUGACUAAAUUGGAAAAAAAUAAUGCACCAUAAACUUUGAUUGAAGAAUAAAAUUGAAAACAAAUAAAGUUUUAACAAAAAGAUCAAGGAAAAAAAUUAGAAAUCAAAAGAAUAAGGAACAAAUUGAAAAAAAUAAUAUACGAUAAAUUGUAAUUAAGGGAUUAAAUUGAAAACAAACAAAAUUUUUAUAAAAGGGUCAAGAAAAAAAAAUCAAAAGAAUAAGGAUUGAAAUUGAAACAACUAAAACAAAGAGGAUAGUCCUCUCUUGCUAGUUCAAACUAUGCUAUUUUCUAAAUAUUUUUAUAACCUAUGCCAUUCUUCCAUAAUUUUAACCGUUAUUUUUAAAAAAAUUCAAGAUUGAGAACCAACUAAAUAUUGUGGUCUUUGUUUGAGAUCGCGAUAAGCCUAUAAAUAUCAAACCAAAACAAAUUAUGUUGCUUAAUUAAAAAUUAAUAAAAUAUUAAAAGAUAAAAUUAAAAAAAAAAUUAAGCAAGAAAAAUUAAUAAAGAUCUAAUUGAAAAAAACAAGGAAAAAAAAUAAAAACUAAAAACAAGGAAAAAAAGCUUAGGCACAUAUGUCUGGAUCAACCCAUAGUCAUAGGCCUGGUUAAUCUUUUUUUUAAAGGGUGAAUGCCCUUGAAUGUUUUGAAAAAAAUUUAAUAGGUAAUGCGUUAUCUACUCCGUCCAAAUUCCAGCGACUAGAGAUUGCUGGAAAGUAGAGGUAGAGGUGUUUUACACCUAAAAAAUCUAUUUUCAACCGUAUUUUAACUUAAAAACACCUAAACAAGUAUACACCUUGAAAAACUUAUUCAUGACCUUAAACAACCCAAAAAUCACUAUGUAAAUCCAAAAUCAGUCUGAAACUAAAAAAUCUCUCUAACUUGUAUAUCUACCAUCUCAAGCAAGGUUUAAAGCAAAUAACACUUAGAAUAAACUCUCCUCAUCAAAUAAAACUCAUUAACACCAAUAUUUUUAUUUUUCAUGCUUGAAUACAAUGUCAACCAAGACCUUUUCUCUCUACCAUCAAAAUAUAAAAACUAACUCUUUCUUCUCUUGAAACAAAGACCAAAAAAUUAAAAAAAUAAAGUUUUCAACAAAAAUUAAAUUUGAAGGAUAUGAAAGAACCAAAAAUUUAUAAUUUAAAAGUUUAAAGACCAAACUAAACUUUUCACCCCAAGUUUGAAAUAACCACCUUUCACCAUUUCUCCACCCUUUUUACUUUGAGUGUCUAUCUUUAAAUCUUAUCUUUCCUAAAAAAAACCCUGAUUAAAAUGACGAUCAAUCUAGGUUUAUAAAAAUGUAAUUGAAAAAAAUAUAUAGAGAAAAAAAGACUCAAUAAUUUGUUUGUGUGAAAAGCGGCGCGGUUAACAGUGAUUUCACCACCUCUAUUAUAGUUAAAGUUAAUUAAUUAAUAAUUUGGAAAACGUUCUAAAAAAUGAAAACUGCAAGGGAAAUAAUGCACCUUUGAACAAAAUAAAAGGUCACAAGCAAAAACUCGAUGAAGCUAAUUUCUAUGGCAUCAACUGUAUGAACACACUGUAGGGAUAACUCAUAUAAAUCUACAUGGAAGAGAGAAUAUGCACACCACGCAUACUGUUGUAACCCAUUUUUGGGUCCCCACAAAAUAUAUAUAAAAAUAUAUAGCCAAAGGAGGUUAGAAAAAUAACAGGAGGCAGAAGCGCUCAGAAAAUGGUUGGAAAAUUGGUCAAUGAGGUUAAAAAUACAAAGAUUGGAUUUUUGACAGUAUAUUCUUGAAGGAGGAGAGCCCUGUUGAGAAGAAAAAUUUGAAAUUUGAGGAGAAAAGCCCAAAUUUGGAUGUUUAUGGACUUAAUUGGAUUUUUAAAUGAAUUUAUAGGAGAUUUGAUUGUAAGAUAAAUUGAUUUUUAAGUCAAUUUGGGCUUUAAUUAGAAGAAAUUUAAGUUCUGGGGCCAAAAUAUAUUUUUUAGGAAUUUAUUAGGUCAAAUCAGGGGCCUAAUUGCAUAAAUAUUGAAGUUUAAGGGCCAAUUGGGGACUUAAUUGAGAAAAUUUGAAACCAGGGACCAAAUUGGAAGAGGCGCGUAAAUGGAGGGGCUGGAAUUAAUUGAUUCAGGGGCCUAAUUGAAGAAAUUGGAAGUUUUUUGAUCAAUUAAGGGCUCAAUUGCAUAAAUCAGAGGCCAAGGACUAAAGUGAAAAACGCGGCCAACAAGAGGGGCGAAGACCGAAAUUGGCAGGGAUGCAAUUGAAGGAAAAAAAAGAUGAUUAAGGGCUAAUUUGGAAUUUGGCGCGUUCUGGCGCCACAUUUAAAUGAAACGGCGCGUUUUCUCCAAAACGACGCCGUUUCAUACAUUAAAAAAAAAAGAAAAGAAGAAAGAGCAGAACGGUGGCGUUUUGAACGACACUGUUCCUCUUUCUUCUUCCCCCCGAACAUGCAGCGGGGAAGAAGGAAAAAGGAUGCUUUAAUUUGAAUUUUUUGCCGGUCCUUCUCUCGCCUGGAGCCCACCGACCGAACACACUGGCCGACCACGCACCUGCUAGAAAACCGGGUGGAGCCGAACCUUGGCAGUCGCGCCCAAUGGCCGAUCACCCGGCUGCUCCCCAUGAGAAAAAGCCACGCCCUUGGCUCUAUAAAUAGAACCCAAGAACGCUGAGAAAUGGACGAGGAGGAAGGGUGAGAAAGACCCGAAAGGAGAGAACGGAGAGGGGGAGAAAAAAAGAAAGAAAACCCGAAAAGAGGAGAGAGACCCGAAGAAGAGAGAAACCGAGAGGAGAGAAAACAAAAAAAACAGAGAAAAGAAAAAAAACAGACCGAGAGAAGAGAGGGAAGGGAAGAAAAAAGGAAGACCGAAACAUAGGAAGAGGAAGGAAGAGUUGAAAAUUUAGGGAAAACAAACCGGGAGGGCUGUCACGGGAAAACACUAAAAAAUAGAGCGCCGCCGCUGCUUGGAGCCGCCGUCCGUGAGCCAAGACGCCGCCACCAGCCUCCGCCACAGCACCGCCAGAAACGCAGCAAGCCACCGCCUCUGUGCCAGGUAACUAUUCUCUACCCUCACUCUUGUUUUUUUUUUCCUUUUCUGCAUGCAGAACGAAUAGCGUUCUGCAUGCAGGGGUGGGGGGAAAAUAAUCCCCCCCGCCCGUUUUGGUUGCUGGGCCAGGCGGAUCCUGGCCCAGCCCUGCCUUCUGGGCCGGUCCUGGUCCAGAAGGGAAUAUUAGAUUUUUGGGCCAAAGUCGGCCCAAUUCAUUUUGGGCCGAGAUCGGCCCAACACCUUUGGGGCUGCGUCCGGCCUAGCUGGCUGGGCCGGCCCAGCCCAGCCCAAUUUAAUUUUAUAUUAUGUAUAUUAUUUGUUUGUUGCAUUAUAUAUAUAUAUAUAUAUGAAAAAAUUACGAAAAUUCUGCAAAAAUUAUUUUAAAAAUAUUGUUGAUUUUUCUGCAUUUGUUUUAUCAAAAUGGAUUAAUAUUUGGUUGUAUUUUUAUACCGUAAGGAUACAAAACCCAGUAUUAAAAUACCCGAUUUGCGUCAAAACAUACAAAAAAAUACAUAUUUAAAAAAUGUUUUGUUUUAAAAUACGGCCUAGUCUCUCCAAUAUAUAUAUAUAUAUAUUAUAACAUCAUAUUUUUCAUAUAACAAAUUUCAUAUAACAAAGAAAAUUUCAAAACAAUAUAUGUAUUAGCAUGCAUUUUGGCUUUAAUAACCAGUUUGUUCAAGCCAUGAGAACUAGGCCAAUAUUUCAAAAAUUCUAAAAAAUCUUUUUGUUUACGAAUAUUAAACAUAAAACGUAUUCCUGAUAUUAAAAAUAUGGUUUUUUUACAUAGACGUUAGAACGGUUAGGUUUUACCCGAUAAGAUAAGGACCUCCUUAUUGAGGAGGACUUUUCUUGAACCAUAGACGGACCAACAUACAUAGACGUUAGAACGGUUAGGUUUUACCCGAUAAGAUAAGGACCUCCUUAUUGAGGAGGACUUUUCUUGAACCAUAGACGGACCAACAACUAGGAAACACAACGAGACCUUGAAUUUUAUCAGACAAAUAAACAAUGCAGCUUACCUUAGGUAGGGCGUAUUUGGGGUGCUAAUACCUUCCCUUUACGCAACCAGUCCCCGUGCCCGAUCUCUGAGACCAGUUAGGGUUCCUAGUGACCAAAAUACUAGGUGGCGACUCCCACACCUUUUUUUCAUUGCUAAGAGACAAAGAAUUCCUUGUCUCCUCAUAUUUACCAUAUAUAUAUAUCCCCCCAUCACACAUUUGAGGGUGGACGAUCGCCGCGACGUCGCGCACCCGCGACAGAAUGGCAACUCCACUGGGGACCUUGUGGACUAAGCUUUGUUUUUGUCUGAUUUGUUUUUUGUUUUUGUGGGUUUAUUGUUAAAUAUAGAACUGUCUCAUAUGCUUUAAAUAUUGUACAUAUAUUUUACACAUAUUGUUCAUGCAUUAUAUAGAACUGUCUCAUGCAUCACAUACUUUGACAUAUAUUUUACACAUAUUGUUCAUGCAUUAUAUAGAACUGUCUCAUGCAUCACAUACUUUGAUUAUUGAGAGCACACACAAACUUUAAGUUAAGUGGGGGACUAGCAGCUUACCUUACGACUGUUAGUCAAGGUUUAAGUUUGUGUAAACCCCAACUCUUCGCUGAGUGCUUAGACUGGCAAUAGUUGGUACAUGUGCCAUCUCAUUGCCUACAAGCCCCCAUAUUGCCUCCACGAGGGCAAUCACUGGGACAACAAGAGACCCUUUUUAGAGACUGAAUAGCCAACCUACCCUCGUCAAGCACAAAAGAUUUAGAACCGGCUAUAGGGUGUAUGCUCCACAAAGUACAUUUUGCAUAAAACAACCUAAACCAUAAAGCAUUUGGUUUUCAGGUCUUUUGAAACGAUAAGAUGGCCAUCAUUACCAAAUUUACUACUGUGGAAUAUGGGCAGAAUUCUGAAUUGUCACAACUAUCAGAAGGAGAUUGCUCUAGAUAUGAUGCAAGGAAGCUUCCAGUAGUCAAAGACUUGAAUUGCGUAAUAUAUGAGAUGAAGAGAAUAUUGGGCCAUAGUCAAAACAUUGAUGAGGCGGCAUUCUUCGGAAAGUAUGGGCGAUUGUUGGAAAUAACAAAGAUAGAAGUAUUGAACCCAGCAAUCAAAGCUUUGAUUAACUUUUAGGAUCCCGAUUACAGAUGCUUUUCCUUUGGAAAUGUGGAUUUGUGUCCCACUAUAGAGGAGUAUGGAAUGUUGACGGAGUUUCCCAAACACCUGCACCGAGUUUAUUUUCCUUUGAGAAAUGACAAGGUGAUUCCUGAGUUGUCAAAAUUGCUGAAGAUUCCACAUUUGAGCAGAUUUUUAGAGAAGAAUGGCAGCGGUUUAAAGUGGAAAUUUCUGGAGGUUGAACUAGAAAAGAAAAAAGAGCAAUACGGGUCAAUGCUAGAAAGAGACAAGUUAAUCGCUCUGGGGAUCUAUGGGCUCGUGUUAUUUCCAAGCUUAAUAGGGGUUAUAAGCCUAGAAGCUGCUGCUGCAUUCAUGGAAUAUGAAAAUACUCAUGUCAACCCUACAACUGCCAUAUUAGCUGAGACCUUUCUGACCCUCAACCAUUUUAAAAAGACGGGGAAAGGCGCAAUGAGAUGUUGUACUCAAUUAUUAUACAUCUGGAUGGUAAGCCAUGUUGAAACCAAGAAGCCGAUCUUUAAUAAUUUUUGGUGGUUUAACCAAAAACCCUUGAAGAUAAUGGAGGAAGAAGAAUGGGGAAUCCUAGGUGAUCAAGGUUGGAUGGAAAAACUGCAAGAGUUACCUAGUAGCAGCUUUAGUUGGAAGGCCCCUUGGGUUAAAUCAGUGGAUGUCAUAGUAAGUUGCGGACAAAAAUGCUGGGUACCUUUAAUUGGGAUCACAGGUUAUGUCAGCUAUGCUCCGGCUCUGGUGAUAAGACAAUUAGGUGGCAUACAACACAUCCCAAGAACUGUGGGACUUGCUGAAUUUUUCGGGUUUUUCAAGGAUCAAUCCGCGAAAGAAGUUCUUGAAACCAUCAAACAAGAUUGGUGCCAUUUGACUAUAAUUCAAAAGGAGUCAGAAAGUUUGAGAGACCCUAGCUCAAGUGAAGGAUAUGAAAAGUGGAGGAAUUUGACCCUGAUUGCCGCUCCGAAAAAACCAUGUCAUAAAGACGGGCCUUCACGAAUUAAAGAAAGGUCGUUGAAAAGAAAAAAGGUCAGUAAUGAGAAAGACCUUAUGGAGCAAUUAGAAAGAUUACAAGUAGAAUUGGGAAAGAGUAAGGGAGAUAAAGCAGCAUUAGAAAGGAUGAUGAUGGAAGGAGAUAAAAGCAGAGUGUUUCUGAACGAACAGCUCGAAUCUAGAGAUGCGAAAAUAGUGAUGUUAGAGCUGCAAUUGAGCAAAGGAAAGGCUGUAAUAGAAGAGUCCGAGAAAGAAAGAGGAAGACUGAUUUUGGAUUGGAUGCAAAGCAGCUCUGAAUUAGAAGCGUUGAAAGCCGACUUCAACGACUAUCAAGAGAAUGUCGAGGACAAAUUCUUGCAUGUUCAAGCAGAGUUGUUGGACCAAAUUGAGAAGUAUGAAAUUCGCCAGUGGACUGGUUAUUCUGUAGCGGGUG
rnacentral:lncRNA from 1 species